rnacentral:ncRNA from 1 species
AUGUAAUCAAUGAAGUGAUCAAGUAAAUAAGGAUUGUGAAUCCAGAGAAUAUAGCCUUGGCUGAAAGCUAUAUCACCCCUCCUUAUUGAACCCUGCCACGGAGAUGUUAGCGAAAAACUAACCGGGUCGUUCCGAUACCAACGUUUAGAGGACAUUCUAUGAAUGUCGAACUAAGGUGGUACCACGUCUAUUAGCAUAAAGACGUCCUUAUU